GCGGUAAGGCCCCUUCGGGGGUACACGAGCGGCGAAAGGGAGAGUAACGCGUGGACUACCUACCCUCGGGUCUGGGAUAGCCGCGGGAAACUGCGGGUAAUACCGGAUAACGUCUGAGGACCAAAGGUGCGAUUCCGCCUGGGGACGGGUCCGCGACCUAUUAGCUUGUUGGUGAGGUAACGGCUCACCAAGGCGACGAUGGGUACGGGGUGUGAGAGCAUGACCCCGCUCACUGGGACUGAGACACUGCCCAGACACCUACGGGUGGCUGCAGUCGAGAAUCUUCGGCAAUGGGCGCAAGCCUGACCGAGCGACGCCGCGUGUGGGAUGAAGGCCUUCGGGUUGUAAACCGCUGUCAGUUGGGAGGAAAUGCAUGGGGGUUCUCUCCCAUGUUUGACCUAUCUUCAGAGGAAGGACGGGCUAAGUUCGUGCCAGCAGCCGCGGUAAGACGAACCGUCCGAACGUUAUUCGGAAUCACUGGGCUUAAAGGGUGCGUAGGCGGCCCGGAAAGUUGGGUGUGAAAUCCCUCGGCUCAACCGAGGAAUGGCGCCCAAAACUACCGGGCUCGAGGGAGACAGAGGUGAGCGGAACUUAGGGUGGAGCGGUGAAAUGCGUUGAUAUCCUAAGGAACACCGGUGGCGAAAGCGGCUCACUGGGUCUUUUCUGACGCUGAGGCACGAAAGCUAGGGGAGCGAAGAGGAUUAGAUACCCUCGUAGUCCUAGCUGUAAACGAUGAGCACUGGACCGAAGGGUCCUCCAUAGCCUUCCGGUCGUAGCGAAAGUGUUAAGUGCUCCGCCUGG
rnacentral:rRNA from 1 species